AUUGAACGCUGGCGGCAGGCCUAACACAUGCAAGUCGAACGGAGUGGCGGACGGGUGAGUAAUGUCUGGGCAACUGCCUGAUGGAGGGGGAUAACUACUGGAAACGGUAGCUAAUACCGCAUACUAUCAGAUGAGCCUAGGUCGGAUUAGCUAGUUGGUGGGGUAAAGGCCUACCAAGGCGACGAUCCGUAACUGGUCUGAGAGGAUGAUCGGUCACACUGGGACUGAGACACGGUCCAGACUCCUACGGGAGGCAGAAGUGGGGAAUAUUGGACAAUAGGCGAAAGUCUGAUCCAGCCAUGCCGCGUGUGUGAAGAAGGAAUUCGGAUUGUAAAACACUUUAAGUUGGGAGGCGUUACCAACAGAAUAAGCACCGGCUAACUUCGUGCCAGCAGCAGCGGUAGUAC
rnacentral:rRNA from 1 species